rnacentral:rRNA from 1 species
AUUGAACGCUAGCGGCAUGCCUUACACAUGCAAGUCGAACGGCAGCACGAACUUCGGUUUGGUGGCGAGUGGCGAACGGGUGAGUAAAGCAUCGGAACGUGCCUAGUAGUGGGGGAUAACUAUUCGAAAGAGUAGCUAAUACCGCAUACGAUCUAAGGAUGAAAGUGGGGGAUCUUCGGACCUCAUGCUAUUAGAGCGGCCGAUGUCAGAUUAGCUAGUUGGUGAGGUAAAAGCUCACCAAGGCGACGAUCUGUAGCUGGUCUGAGAGGACGACCAGCCACACUGGGACUGGGACACGGCCCAGACUCCUACGGGAGGCAGCAGUGGGGAAUUUUGGACAAUGGGCGAAAGCCUGAUCCAGCAAUGCCGUGUGUGUGAAGAAGGCCUUCGGGUUGUAAAGCACUUUUGUUCGGGAAGAAAAGGUUUGUGUUAAUACCAUAAGCUGAUGACGGUACCGAAAGAAUAAGCACCGGCUAACUACGUGCCAGCCGCCGCCGUAA